rnacentral:rRNA from 1 species
AUGCGUCAGCAGCUAAUUGGGACUCAGAAUCUUGAUCAUGAGCUGGCCUCAAUCAUUUUCAGAAGAUAUUCUCAGUCUGACCAGGAAGCUAAUAGUGAGUGCCCAUGCCUAAAUUGGAGGCACAACAUGGAACCUGAUUUUGCGACAUUUGUGCUGGCCAACCAUGAAUAUCUGAACAAUAUUUCGAUUCAGAACCAACUCGGCGGCAAGGACUUCCCUUAUGAUAUAAUCUCCUCCCAGAUGUUUUUCAUACCAGUACCUCUAGAGGAUGGAUGGGUCGUACUGAUGUGGGACAUGAUGUCAAGGAAGCCGCACAUCCUGGACCUGAUGAUCAGAGGCGAUGGUCCAACUGAACCAACAAAGGAUAAGCUCGAAUUGAUAGCUUGGAAGCUACAUCAUGCACUAUUCCAUUGUCUGAACGAGUACUAUGCUGGCUGGCUGGCCUACGCAAGACGGAGAGUGGGAGGCCCACUACGCACUUGUUGCAAUGAAACAUUUGUCAGGGACGAAACAGGGGGAUGUGUACUCCACAUUGGACGAACGACACCAAGCUGA